CAAGUUGAUUUCUGCCAAUGAGAUAAACAUACUUACAAAGGAGAUAAUGCCCAUGAUUAGGAAAAAUAGAUCUUCAAGACCUUGAGCAGCUAGUGGUCAUUGUAUCUUUGCUACAGUGAUUGCCAUCUUUUCAAGAUAGUUUGCAUUAUAUGAUAGAUACCUAAUGACUAUUGCUCUUGUUCAAGUAUUAUCAUUCCUUUUCAGAAUUCACAGGAGUGCUUUAUGCACUUUAUCUUGCUUUACUCUAAUUUUCUCAAUACAGUAGCAAGCUCCUUUAUUAAUAGCCGAUGAGCUCAAAUUUGUUUCGGCUUUCUCAUCUUUUUCAUUUACCGGUAUAUUCAUAUCCUGAAGGCACCUCGCUAGCAGGCUGCUCUCCAGUUACCAGCUCUCAACUGAUUCCCC
rnacentral:lncRNA from 7 species